rnacentral:rRNA from 1 species
GUACACUCCUACGGGAGGCAGCAGUGGGGAAUAUUGGACAAUGGGCGCAAGCCUGAUCCAGCCAUGCCGCGUGAGUGAUGAAGGCCCUAGGGUUGUAAAGCUCUUUCACCGGUGAAGAUAAUGACGGUAACCGGAGAAGAAGCCCCGGCUAACUUCGUGCCAGCAGCCGCGGUAAUACGAAGGGGGCUAGCGUUGUUCGGAUUUACUGGGCGUAAAGCGCACGUAGGCGGACUAUUAAGUCAGGGGUGAAAUCCCGUGGCUCAACCCCGGAACUGCCUUUGAUACUGGUAGUCUUGAGUUCGAGAGAGGUGAGUGGAAUUCCGAGUGUAGAGGUGAAAUUCGUAGAUAUUCGGAGGAACACCAGUGGCGAAGGCGGCUCACUGGCUCGAUACUGACGCUGAGGUGCGAAAGCGUGGGGAGCAAACAGGAUUAGAAACCCCAGUAGUCCCAUGA